GAAUUCACUAGUGAUUCAGGCCUAACACAUGCAAGUCGAGCGGUAGAGAGAAGCUUGCUUCUCUUGAGAGCGGCGGACAGGUGAGUAAUGCCUAGGAAUCUGCCUGGUAGUGGGGGAUAACGUUCGGAAACGGACGCUAAUACCGCAUACGUCCUACGGGAGAAAGCAGGGGACCUUCGGGCCUUGCGCUAUCAGAUGAGCCUAGGUCGGAUUAGCUAGUUGGUGAGGUAAUGGCUCACCAAGGCUACGAUCCGUAACUGGUCUGAGAGGAUGAUCAGUCACACUGGAACUGAGACACGGUCCAGACUCCUACGGGAGGCAGCAGUGGGGAAUAUUGGACAAUGGGCGAAAGCCUGAUCCAGCCAAGGCGCGUGUGUGAAGAAGGUCUUCGGA
rnacentral:rRNA from 1 species